rnacentral:rRNA from 1 species
GUGCCAGCAGCCGCGGUAAUACGGAGGGGGCUAGCGUUGUUCGGAAUUACUGGGCGUAAAGCGCACGUAGGCGGCUUUGUAAGUUAGAGGUGAAAGCCUGGAGCUUAACUCCAGAACUGCCUUUAAGACUGCAUCGCUUAAAUCCAGGAGAGGUGAGUGGAAUUCCGAGUGUAGAGGUGAAAUUCGUAGAUAUUCGGAAGAACACCAGUGGCGAAGCGGCUCACUGGACUGGUAUUGACGCUGAGUGCGAAAGCGUGGGAGCAAAUCGGAUUAGAUACCCUGGUAGUCC